rnacentral:lncRNA from 1 species
UGAGGCCAUCAACUUCCCCAUUCUUGGAAAAGACAAGCAACCCAGGAGCCAUGAGGACAUCUGUGUCUCCCAAAAGCUGGCUGUUUUGGAGUCAACCGAAGCCUUGCUUUAUGAAGCUAGAGUCCCAUCUUGCUUUGCCUUGCAGGCAGCUGAGAUGCUUCUCUUUGGGAAGAAACUCACAGCAAGAGAAGCUUGGGCUCAAGGUCUUGUCACUGAAGUUUUCCCUGAAAGCACUUUUGAGACAGAAGUCUGGACCAGGCUGAAAACAUAUGCGAAGCUUUCACCAAAUGGAAUGAGAGUUUUCAAAGAGUUAAUCAGAAACCACGAGAGACAAAAGCUAUAUACUGUUAAUGCUGAAGAAUGUGCUGUGGGCCAGGAAAGGCUGAAGUCAGAGGAGUGGAAGGAUGCACUCAGAAACUUCUUGUCCAGAAAGGCAAAGCUGUGAAGACCCUGAGAGCAGCUAGACUUCUCAGGGGAAGGAUGCGCUGUGAGUUCCAGUUUCAAGUGCCUGAACUACACAAACUCCUCUGUGCCCCUUUUGAUUACCAGUUAUGAUGAGUGUGCUUCAGUUAUAAACAAUAAAAACUUCCAUAAAACC